rnacentral:rRNA from 1 species
UAAUAAUUAGUCUUUUAAUUGGAGGCUUGUAUGAAUGGAUACAUGAGAAAUUUAUUUUAUUUAUUUUACUUUUAGAACUUAAUUUAUAAGUAAGAAAGCUUAUUAUUUUUUUUGGGACGAUAAGACCCUAUAGAAUUUUAUUUUUUAUUAUUGUUAAAUUUUUUUUUUGGGAGAAAAUUUAUUUAUUUUAAUAAAAUUUUUUGUUGGGGUGAUAGAUAAAUUUAAACUUUAUUUUUUUUUUUCAUUUUUUAUUUGUUUAAUAUGAUCCAUUAUUAUGAUUACAAGAUUAAAUUACCUUAGGGAUAACAGCGUUAUUUUAAUGGAAAGUUCAUAUUUAUAAAAAGUUUGCGACCUCGAUGUUGAAUUAAGAUAAGGUUGAGGGGUAG